UACGAAGGGGGCUAGCGUUGUUCGGAUUUACUGGGCGUAAAGCGCACGUAGGCGGAUUGUUAAGUCAGGGGUGAAAUCCUGGAGCUCAACUCCAGAACUGCCUUUGAUACUGGCGAUCUUGAGUCCGGGAGAGGUGAGUGGAACUGCGAGUGUAGAGGUGAAAUUCGUAGAUAUUCGCAAGAACACCAGUGGCGAAGGCGGCUCACUGGCCCGGUACUGACGCUGAGGUGCGAAAGCGUGGGGAGCAAACAGGG
rnacentral:rRNA from 1 species